CGCUACAAUGAGGGGGCCCCCGAGGCAUUCACCGUGGGCUUUUCCACCCGCCUGCGGGCUGGAACCACCUCCGGUUUCCUCUCAGUGCCGGGCGUGGAGAGGGCCGGGCCUGCGAGGCAGACGCCGGGCCUGAAGGCUGGCGAGCUGCGAGCUGGAACGAGAAGGGCGAGGCGGUGGCGCGAAGCUUCGAGGCGGGCUAGGGGUUUCCCCAGGACUGCCUCCGGCUUUGAGAGGCGGGAUCCCGCCAGGACGGGGUCCCUAAGGGAGGAGAACGGCACACGACGACCCAGAUUCCUCUCCUGCCGGGCAGGACUUUUCCUGGCGGGUCGCCCCCUUUCCGAAAUCCCCCAAAGCGUACCCAAUACACACCCUCGGCGACCGAGCCACCUCCUGCCACCUCCUGCCGCGGGGAAGCCCGAGUGAAAGCGGGAACACAUCCUAGAAGAGUAACAAGUGGUUUUCUAGCAUUUAGAGCCAGGAACGUGGUGAGAUGCCCUCCCUCUCGAAGGCACCCCUUCCCCCGUGGGGGUCCACGCAAUUAUCGAAGGCUGUCCUGUGAGGAGGCACUUUCAAGAUCCUUGAGACCACACCCAUUAAAAGACUAGACCAAUGUCUUUAUGGAACAUCAUGUAUUCGUUUGGAGAAAAUGAAAGUACAGGUUACUCUGAGUCUAUGCCCAGGUUACUGUGGAUACUAUGGUGAAAGAGACAUUGUCCCUGUCUCGGAGAAACGCAUCUUCUGGUAGAGAUACCAGAGGAUGGAGAAGUGAUAAGAAUGCAAUAUGGUGAAUGCAGUAAUUAAGACUGAGCUCACGGAUUUUUGGAAAUGACAUCACAGAGGAGAAGUGCCCUUUUCAUGACAUCAUAUCAGAGUCUGACAUCCUUGAGUGUUGAAGGUUGAUCCUCGGAUAGUCAUCUCCUCGUAACAGAAUUGCUGCUACAGCUCCAAGAUCACAUCUUCAUGGAAUAGCAUUGAACCCCCAUCUCUGUUUUUAUCAGAAAUAAAAAUUAUUUG